AAAUACUCUAUAAAGGAGAAAUUUUGAUAAUUUGAGGUAUUGGUUCAUUCAUUUACUGAGGUAAUCAGUGGUUUCUUAGCCCCUGAGUUCAGGCGUUGUGUUGAGCACCAGGCAUAUAAAGAUGAAAGGGGCACAGUCUAACACAGCACGACGCUUGCACUAUAGCUAGCUAUCGUGGAGGCAGAGACAAUGGGCUAAUACGUUAUGAAUGCUGUGCAUGGAGUUUGCCUGAGAGUGAGUUCAGAUUUUAUUUCGUCAGUGUUUGACAACCUAUGAAGAAGGGUGGGUGAGGGGAUCAUGAUUAUAUUAGAAAUGUUACUCUGGUGUCUUUGGUUUGGAUGAGCAAGAAUUUAGGGUGAUCAGGAGAGAGAAGAGGGAGGGGGAAGAAGUGGGGGAAAGACUGAGUGCCUAAUGCUGGACUAUGACCUUGGGGAUGAAGACGAGGGGCUGGACUUAGGAGAUAUGUUGGAGGUGGAAUGACAGGACUUGACCAAUUAUGUGGGGGGAGGCUCUGAUAACUCCAAGGGGCCUGUGUAGAUGCUGCCGCCAUUCACUGAGCUAGGGGAAGGGCAAGGUUGUGGAUGGGUGUCUAGUGAGUUCCAGUUUUGAAUCUGUUAUGAAUUGAGGCAUUUGGGAAUAUAUUAUCUUACUAGAUGGUGGUUGAUGUAUGGAUCUGGGACUUGGGAAAGGAACCUCCAUUAGACAUAAAUACAAGGAACUGUACGGUUGGUAUCUGUAGCCAUAGAUACAGAUUCAAUUGUCCAGAUAGAACACGUAGAAGAGGAAGAGAAAAGUCAAGCACCGAGCUCAGGGAGUCAUUAGUAUUAAGUGGAGGGUGGGUGGAAGAGAAGCCAGAGAGGACUGUUGGAGAAAGAGAGGAAGAGAGCGUGACGAGGACCAGAAGGGGAGAGUCUUGGGGACAUCAAAGUGAAAGUGAAAGGUCGCUCAGUCGUGUCUGACUCUUUGUGACCUCAUGCACUAUACAGUCCAUGGAAUUCUCCAGGCCAGAAUACUGGAGUGGGUAGCCUUUCCCUUCUCCAGGGGAUCAUCCCAACCCCAGGGUUGAACCCAGGUCUCCCACAUUGCAGGUGGAUUCUUUACCAGCUGAGCCACCAGGGACGCCCAAGAAUACUGGAGUGGGUAGCUGUUCCCUUCUCCAGGGGAUCUUCCUGACCCAGGAAUUGAACUGGGAUCUCCUGCAUUGCAGGCGGAUUCUUUACCAAUGGAGCUAUGAGGGAAGCCCUGGGGACAUCAGGAGGAAGACGUUUGAAGAAAGGCAAACUGGUUAGCAAAGGUGACAAAAGAAUCAAAUCAGAUUUCUAAGGAAAAAGGAGUCAGUUGCCACACACAGUGCACCAGGAGGAAAGAAAGGAUGAAGAUGCAAACAACUUUUGGUUCGUUCUUUUAAAAAAGCAAAGAAUAUGACUGUAUUUGGAAAGUCAGUUGACUGAGAAGAUGGCAGACUAAUGUCUAAAAAUCACCAUCCUGAAGAUCUGUUCUUUUAGAAAACUUCAAGAAUACAAUAUAGUAUUAAGCAUGAUCACGAGUUACAGGUGUAAGAACUCACGAUUGGAAAAUCCAGGAGGGAGCUAAAUUGCCAGAGAUGAAAAAAAGGUGUUGAGAAUUGGGUAUUUCCAAUCUGAAGAUAGCACGACUGUGAAAUCUGCAUGGGAUAAACGUCCAGAGGAACUAAGGAUCGCCUCUGAAGGUUUAGGAGACAUCUAUUGGUAUCCUGAUCCUUGCAAAAUGAUUGAACUUUAGAAAAAUUCAUCAGUCAUUUUCACUUUUCUCACUAUGGGAUAUGCAUCACCUAACUGUAGGAGACACAGGACAUGUUCCAGGGCACAGAUCACCAGCCGGGCGCUGGACGAGCAGGAGUCUGUGGGCAGCAUGACCCAGUUAUAAGGAACUUGGUUUUGUGAUUGUAUGUUGCUAAAGCACCGGUAUCCUGGCUUUCAAGUAAGAAUUUCCUUUAGUUGGCUUUGUUUAUUUUUAAAUAAGUGACUUCAGUAUAACUUUAAAAAAAAAUUUAAAUAAGUGGCUUCAGCAUAAAGGGGAAAAUAUUCACUUUCCCUGAGUCUGUCUUGCCAGUGGAAGGCUAUUAGUUGC
ensembl:lncRNA